UACGGAGGGGGUUAGCGUUGUUCGGAAUUACUGGGCGUAAAGCGCGCGUAGGCGGAUUGGAAAGUUGGGGGUGAAAUCCCGGGGCUCAACCCCGGAACGGCCUCCAAAACUCCCAGUCUUGAGUUCGAGAGAGGUGAGUGGAAUUCCGAGUGUAGAGGUGAAAUUCGUAGAUAUUCGGAGGAACACCAGUGGCGAAGGCGGCUCACUGGCUCGAUACUGACGCUGAGGUGCGAAAGCGUGGGGAGCAAACAGG
rnacentral:rRNA from 1 species